CCUACGGGGGGCAGCAGUAGGGAAUAUUGCUCAAUGGGGGAAACCCUGAAGCAGCAACGCCGCGUGGAGGAUGAAGGUCUUCGGAUUGUAAACUCCUUUUGUUAGAGAAGAUAAUGACGGUAUCUAACGAAUAAGCACCGGCGAACUACGUGCCAGCAGCCGCGGUAAUACGGCGGGUGCAAGCGUUACUCGGAAUCACUGGGCGUAAAGAGCGCGUAGGCGGGAUAGCAAGUCAGAUGUGAAAUCCUAUGGCUUAACCAUAGAACUGCAUUUGAAACUGUUAUUCUAGAGUAUGGGAGAGGUAGGUGGAAUUCUUGGUGUAGGGGUAAAAUGCGUAGAGAUCAAGAGGAAUACUCAUUGCGAAGGCGACCUGCUAGAACAUAACUGACGCUGAUGCGCGAAAGCGUGGGGAGCAAACAGGAUUAGAUACCCCAGUAGUC
rnacentral:rRNA from 1 species